rnacentral:rRNA from 1 species
AUACGGAGGAUGCGAGCGUUAUCCGGAUUUAUUGGGUUUAAAGGGAGCGUAGGUGGGAUAUUAAGUCAGCUGUGAAAGUUUGGGGCUCAACCUUAAAAUUGCAGUUGAUACUGGUUUCCUUGAGUACGGUACAGGUGGGCGGAAUUCGUGGUGUAGCGGUGAAAUGCUUAGAUAUCACGAAGAACUCCGAUUGCGAAGGCAGCUCACCGGGCCGGAACUGACACUGAUGCUCGAAAGUGCGGGUAUCAAACAGGAUUAGAUACCCUGGUAGUCCGCACAGUAAACGAUGAAUACUCGCUGUUUGCGAUACACGGUAAGCGGCCAAGCGAAAGCGUUAAGUAUUCCACCUGGAGUACGCCGGCAACGGUGAAACUCAAAGGAAUUGACGGGG